rnacentral:tRNA from 1 species
UUCGGGGUAGCUUAAAACAAAGCAUUGAUUUUGUAAUUCAAAGAGUGGAAUAGUUCCCUCCGAAU